rnacentral:lncRNA from 1 species
UUUCAAGGAACAUAUGAAGUCCUAUUUUCAAAUCUAUGUAUUCAAGUAAUAAUAAUAAUAACAAUUUGAUUGCCCACAAAAUCUCUUCUUAUUCAUAAAAUUUGGAAGGAUUACACUUAGUACAAUUUCAGAAACCAAAGUACAAAUAUAAGAGAAAAGAAAAUUUUCAUCCUAAGGAUACCUAGCAACUACAUCAGAUGAUAUGGCUAUGGGUGCAUACUUCCUUCGGAUGCGUCAAAUCUCUGACUCAAAGGAUGUCUUCA